UCAAGCCAAAAGUCGCGUCUGGCCUGGCUCCGUCCCCCUGACGGUCGGCAAAAUUUGUUUUUAGUCUGCGAUCUUGUAUGGUUGGUUCCCUUUCGAUUUUGGCAAUUGGGCAGAACCUGUAAAUGAAGUCGGUUGAAGAGCAGCUGGCGCUGAUCCAGCGCGGUGCAGACGAGAUCCUGGUAGAGGCGGAACUGGUGGCCAAGCUGAAGCGUGGCCAGCCCUUGCGGAUCAAGGCCGGCUUCGACCCGACCGCUCCCGAUCUGCAUCUUGGCCAUACCGUGCUUAUUAAUAAGCUGCGCCAGUUCCAGGACCUGGGGCAUCAGGUGAUCUUCCUCAUCGGCGACUUCACUGGGAUGAUUGGUGACCCCAGUGGGAAAAGUGUUACCCGUCCUCCCCUGACGCGCGAGCAGGUUCUGGAGAAUGCGGAGACGUACAAGUCCCAGGUCUUCAAGAUCCUCGACCCGGCCAAGACCGAAGUAGCCUUCAAUUCCACCUGGAUGGACCAACUGACCCCGGCUGACUUCAUUCGUCUUGCCUCUCAGUACACCGUUGCGCGGAUGCUGGAGCGCGAUGACUUUAGCAAGCGCUAUGCCAGCAAUCAGCCCAUCGCUAUCCAUGAGUUCCUCUAUCCGCUGGUCCAGGGCUAUGACUCCGUCGCGCUGAAGGCGGACGUCGAGUUGGGUGGCACCGACCAGAAGUUCAACCUGCUGAUGGGGCGCGAGCUGCAGCGUGCCUAUGGCCAGGAGGCCCAGGUGAUCCUGACCAUGCCGUUGCUGGAAGGGCUGGAUGGCGUGAAGAAGAUGUCCAAGUCGCUGGGCAACUAUAUUGGUAUCCAGGAAGCGCCGGGUGUCAUGUACAGCAAGCUGGUCUCCAUUCCUGACACGCUGAUGUGGCGAUACUUCGAACUGCUCAGCUUCCGUUCCCUGGAUGAGAUCGAUAGCUUCCGCAAGGACGUCGAGGCGGGCGCCAACCCGCGUGACAUCAAGAUCAAGCUGGCCGAGGAGAUCGUCGCCCGCUUCCAUGGCGAGGAGGCGGCGGCGAGCGCACACAAGUCGGCCGGCAAUCGCCUGAAGGAUGGCGAGCUGCCGGAAGACCUGCCGGAGAUCGAGCUGUGGUCCCCCGAGGAUAUGCCCGUUGCCUCUGUCCUUAAUAAGGCGGGGUUGGUGAAGAAUGCGGCUGCGGCUCGCGAUCUCCUGGGUGCCGGCAGCGUCAAGGUGGAUGGGCAGGUCGUCGACCGCACCUUCAUGCUGGCGCUGGGUGAGACCCGUGUGUUCCAGGCAGGGAAGAAGGCUUUCGCGCGCAUCACGCUGAAGGCUGAAUAAUUCUUUCAAAUAAGUGUUGACGCCAGUUUCUAUCUCCCUAUAAUGCGCACCACUCCCGGCGACGACGAAGAGUAAAUGCUUGAAAAUCAAGGAUUUACGGAUUCUCUCCCAGGGGUGGUGAAGCGCUCCGGCAGGUUGUCCGCCGCAGCGGUUCGGUCCCGAAAGGGGCCCACGCCGAAAGACCAAGGGUUCCUGCGCAACGUUAAUCGACGCAGGGUUAGUCGGUUCCUAAGGCGAGGCUGAAAAGCGUAGUCGAUGGGAAACAGGUUAAUAUUCCUGUACUUCUGGUUACUGCGAUGGAGGGACGGAGAAGGCUAGGCCAGCUUGGCGUUGGUUGUCCAAGUUUAAGGUGGUAGGCUGAAAUCUUAGGUAAAUCCGGGGUUUCAAGGCCGAGAGCUGAUGACGAGUCGUCUUUUAGAUGACGAAGUGGUUGAUGCCAUGCUUCCAAGAAAAGCUUCUAAGCUUCAGGUAAGCAGGAACCGUACCCCAAACCGACACAGGUGGUCGGGUAGAGAAUACCAAGGCGCUUGAGAGAACUCGGGUGAAGGAACUAGGCAAAAUGGCACCGUAACUUCGGGAGAAGGUGCGCCGGCUAGGGUGAAGGAUUUACUCCGUAAGCUCUGGCUGGUCGAAGAUACCAGGCCGCUGCGACUGUUUAUUAAAAACACAGCACUCUGCAAACACGAAAGUGGACGUAUAGGGUGUGACGCCUGCCCGGUGCCGGAAGGUUAAUUGAUGGGGUUAGCGCAAGCGAAGCUCUUGAUCGAAGCCCCGGUAAACGGCGGCCGUAACUAUAACGGUCCUAAGGUAGCGAAAUUCCUUGUCGGGUAAGUUCCGACCUGCACGAAUGGCGUAACGAUGGCGGCGCUGUCUCCACCCGAGACUCAGUGAAAUUGAAAUCGCUGUGAAGAUGCAGUGUAUCCGCGGCUAGACGGAAAGACCCCGUGAACCUUUACUGUAGCUUUGCACUGGACUUUGAGCCUGCUUGUGUAGGAUAGGUGGGAGGCUUUGAAGCGUGGACGCCAGUUCGCGUGGAGCCAUCCUUGAAAUACCACCCUGGCAUGCUUGAGGUUCUAACUCUGGUCCGUGAUCCGGAUCGAGGACAGUGUAUGGUGGGCAGUUUGACUGGGGCGGUCUCCUCCUAAAGAGUAACGGAGGAGUACGAAGGUGCGCUCAGACCGGUCGGAAAUCGGUCGCAGAGUAUAAAGGCAAAAGCGCGCUUGACUGCGAGACAGACACGUCGAGCAGGUACGAAAGUAGGUCUUAGUGAUCCGGUGGUUCUGUAUGGAAGGGCCAUCGCUCAACGGAUAAAAGGUACUCCGGGGAUAACAGGCUGAUACCGCCCAAGAGUUCAUAUCGACGGCGGUGUUUGGCACCUCGAUGUCGGCUCAUCACAUCCUGGGGCUGAAGCCGGUCCCAAGGGUAUGGCUGUUCGCCAUUUAAAGUGGUACGCGAGCUGGGUUUAGAACGUCGUGAGACAGUUCGGUCCCUAUCUGCCGUGGACGUUUGAGAUUUGAGAGGGGCUGCUCCUAGUACGAGAGGACCGGAGUGGACGAACCUCUGGUGUUCCGGUUGUCACGCCAGUGGCAUUGCCGGGUAGCUAUGUUCGGAAAAGAUAACCGCUGAAAGCAUCUAAGCGGGAAACUUGCCUCAAGAUGAGAUCUCACUGGGAACUUGAUUCCCCUGAAGGGCCGUCGAAGACUACGACGUUGAUAGGCUGGGUGUGUAAGCGUUGUGAGGCGUUGAGCUAACCAGUACUAAUUGCCCGUGAGGCUUGACCAU
rnacentral:rRNA from 1 species